UGUGUAGGUCGUUUAUUAAGUUGAAUAUUAAAACUUAAAGCUUAACUUUAUUUUGUAUUCAAUACUGAUAAACUAGAGUUUGGUAGAGGAUUGUGGAAUUUCUAGUGUAGAAAUAAAAUUCAUAAAUAUUAGAAGGACCAUCAGAGGCGAAGGCGACAAUCUGGAUCAAUACUGACGCUGAAACACGAAAGCGUGGGGAGCAAACA
rnacentral:rRNA from 1 species